rnacentral:pre_miRNA from 1 species
AAAAUAUGAUGAUGCUGAUGACGAUGAUGAUGUUUAUGAUGAUCAUGAUCAUCAUCAUCAUCAUCAUCAUCGUCGUCGUCAUCAUCAUCAUCA